rnacentral:lncRNA from 1 species
ACUAAUAGAUAAUUGACUAAAUAAACAUCCUGCAAAGUUUCAAUAAAAUUUUUCAAGUUUUUCUUACAAUUUCCGUGAUUUUUAUUCAAUUUUUAUCGAUAUCGAUAAUAUUCCGAUAUUUCCACCGAAAUUUUCGUGUUUGAACUACUGAUAUUUUCGAUAUCAUCGAUAUUUUAUAUCUGGAUUGCGAAUUCGUCAUUCUUAAUAUUCAAAUCUUAGACCUCUUAUUUAUAAAUGAAAAUGAAUGACUAUUAGACUGUAAUACUAAAUAGCUACCUUUUAACAUAAAAUGAAAUACUUUUUUUUUUUUUUACUAGAAGUUAGUAUAUAAUUAUGAGUUUAACUUCUUUUUGGGAAGUUAAUAUAGGCCUUGUUUGGGAUUUUGGUACUUUUAUAAAAACUAGCUUAUUAAAAAAUCUGGAACAUUAGAUGUGUAAGAAAUUAAUUUUUUUUUUCCAGUAAUGCCAAACUAACCCAUAAUUACAACUUUAACUUAGGUGAUUGGCAAGAGCAGGCUACUCUUAUGUGCUAUAUAUAGUUAGCAUUUAAUACAAUUUACUUUCUUCAAGUAGUUGGUUUGGAAAGUUAUAGUGAAUGAAAUUAUUAAGUUGUUUUAUAGAUCGACUGACAAUUUCCGAGCACCAUGAUGUUAGCAUCAUGUUGGAGGAUAGGUUGCCAUUGCUUUCCUUCAAGUUCACCAUCGACUCCUUAUAAUACCACUAUAUAAAGACAUGGUCAUCGUGUUGGGUAAUUAACUUUAUAAAGACAUGGUCAUCGUGUUGGGUAA